UUAACUGAAGGCAAUUCCUGUGCUUUUUCCUUCCUAGGAUAAUUGAAAACUUUCCUAAUUGUGGACACAGUGAUAAUAAUUUUUUUAUUCUUGAUAAUUCCCUGUUAAACAUCUGACUGUCAGGGUAUAUGCUAUGCACUAGGCACAAGGUGAACCAAAUGGAGAGUGAACAGGUUUUCCCUCCUCAAGGAGCUUGCACGUUGACUCUCCUUCCUUCUGCUGUAAUUCGAUGAUUUAGAACAAGUGAAAGAUUUGUACUUUUUGUAUGUCUAAGAUGAACAUCAUGCAGUAUUGAAUCUUGUUUCUGAAACCUGAGAUUAAUUUAAAUAUGAGACACUCUCCUUUCAUCUAGUUACAUGGAGUCAUGCAAACAUAAAAUAUAUAAUAGCAAGAUGGCUGGAGCCUGAUUCAUUUCUUGAUUAGAUGAAGCUUAGCAGAUUAUCUGUGUUGCACAGAGGUAUGUCAACAUGAAAAAGCACAUUUUCAAAUGUUUUUUUCAGUGUGGUCCAAGGAUCCCUUGGGAAGGGGUUUACUUUUGCAUUAAGUAUUUAUAAACAC
rnacentral:lncRNA from 1 species